CAACUCACCGGGUUAAACCUCUCGACGACGAGGGUUUUUGCGGUGCGGAGAGACGUUGCCGCUUGCCAGUUGCCGCCAUUAGCGCGAAGCUCGAGCCUGGUCCGAGCAUUCGAUCCUCGCCGUCGCAAUGGAGGGGCUGAAGGUGUCGGAUGCGGACUUGGUGGUGUUCAUCCACCCCUCGAGGAGCAAACGAUCGUCUCAGGCGAUCCUCCGCGAGCUCAGCUCCCACCUCUUCCAGUUUAGUGAGAUUUUUGAUGGAGUACUAUUGGCUUAUGACGUCGAUAUUGUCGAUACAAAUGCAAAGAUUGUCCAUGAUAUCCUACCAUACUCUGGCAUGAGACUCAAGGCAAAGCUGCUGCUUUUUUCUCCCAAGCCCAAUAUGUUGCUGGAGGGGAAGGUUGUAAAACUUACACCGGAAUCCAUUCAUGUUAUUGUUCUUGGAUUUGCAUCUGCUGUAAUAAUUGAUGAAGACAUUCGUGAAGAAUUUGAAUAUAGAACUAAGCACGGUAAGGAAGUAUAUCACAGCAAAGCUCACAGGCGACACGUUAUAAAGGUUGGAACCAUGAUACGCUUUUUAGUUAAGAGUUUGGAUAAGGAAAUACUGCACAUAUGUGGUUCCCUAAAACCAACCAACACAGGAAGCAUUCAUUGGUUGGAUAAAAUUUUUGACGAAAUAUCCCUCAUAGAUAGGAGUGGUACGAAAAGGGGGAGCGAGAAUGAAAUGAAGAUGCAGGAGCAUGCUGUGAGAGGAGGGGAUGAAAUUUCCUCAUGCAAUGACCAAAUUAAAAAGUCCAAGAAACGAAGAUUAAGAGAAGAGUCUUAAACGUGGGUUUUUGUCAAGUGCGGGUUGUUUCAUUUGCUUACAGAUAUUCUCUUAAGUAUGGUGCUUAGGAAUCAUUAGAAGUGAUUCUGAAAGAAAUUUCUUGUUUUGAGGACCUGUUAAAAACAAAGUCAGGCUCAUUCUAGGACUCAUUGUCCUGCGUCAGAAAGAAGAUAAGACAGUGAUUUUCUGGAGGUCUCAAGAAGUAAUUCCAAUUUCUGUUGUGACCAAAUAAUUCUGUUUCUUUCUUGGCUAAUUUAUUUGGACUGCAAUGAUAGUUAUUAUGCAAUUAAGAUAGAUAUGUGUCGUUUGAAAUAUGAAGUAAUAGCUGAUGUUAUUUCUUGGGCUGUGGAAAGAGUGUAGUGUAGAACAAACUUUAUGCUUGCUGGGUUUUAUAAGCUUCGAAUGCAAUACUGGCAACGGAUCUUUAGUAUUUUUUGUAACCGACAUGUUCCCUAGAAACACUUUUUAGCCCUGGGUUAUUUCAAUGUGUGUUUAUUGAUGCACGAGAUGGUCCUGUGAUCUAAAAGCUGGAUAUUUUAGAGCUUGAUGGAUGAAUAAUUCAUGCCAGCUUAUAUAAGGUGUGAAAAGUAAAUUUUGAAAGCUCUCGCAGUUUGAUGCUAUAAAAGUUUUUUACUUUGGCAGCAUGUAGUUUAUUAGAAAGUUAGGGGUCUCCUUCAUUUAAAAGAGGAUAGAUAGGACGACAAAAGUGAAGUUUAUUAUUAUGAUAUGGUGAUGGGAAAACGAAGCCAAUCUCUGGCCAUUAUUCCUUCAGUCUUUCCCCAAUGAUGGGAAGGGGCUGAUUUAGUGCACUGUAGUUCGGGAGAAGAGGCACUGUCUUUGAGUUAUGGUCAUUGGUGUUCUAACUCUCUGUAGUUUGGGAGGAGAGGCACUCUCUGAGUUAUGGUCAUUGGCGUUCUAACUCUCUCCUUUAUUAGUAAAAAAUCAUGUUGAUGUCAUGUAUGUGCAAUAUGCAAAUCAAAUCAGCAGUCAGUAACUAGUUUAUAAACAUACUGGGUUGUACGAUGUAAUUUUAAAUGCGGGCAUAAAUGUGUGCCAUUUUCCGUAUUUUUCUCAAUGACUUUCUGCUAAAAUUCUAGUUUGUAGCCAUUGUCCUUUUGGACUAAAGAAGACCACCUUUGGUUUGGCCAUAUUGUUGUCCUCUCUAAGAGUUCAUUCUUCCAUCUCACGGAAAGUUUGUCUUGAUGUCAGAAAUAAUAUGUCUAUAAGACAGCAUCUGAGGUUGAAGAUUGUGUAUCAGGAAGUGCUUAAAUCUAAUAGUGGCUAUCUUGCACUGUUGAAGGACAUGCCCAUUGACAUGGAUUUCACAAAAUUGGUAAAACUUGAUGGCAAACUGCAGGCUGGGAGGAUGUUGAGGACAUGGGUUCCUUUUCUGAUUAGAUGGUUUAAGUUCCCCCCAAUUGAACAAUGAAUCUGAGGGAUGGAUCUUUCUAUGGGUUUAUCUAUGGUACCAUAUUUUGAAUUUCAUUCUACUGUCGUUAUGAAUUUUAUGUGAUUCUAUGGCAACGCUUGUUAUUCUUUGUCA